UUAACAAAUUCACUGCUUUAUCCACUUUAACUGCACUAUCAAAUUUGUUUAGCUUUUCACCUAUAUUUAUUGAACUAUCAGGUUAGUUCAAAAUGGAUGAAUGAUUUAGCAUCAGCGAAAUCACUCCUACAACAAUUAACUGGACUUGUAUUCAAGUGAUUGACAAGGGCGGACAACGAGACAGUCAGCAUGGGAGUAAAAAAUAUCAGCUUUUGAUUCUGCGAGAUGACAAGGAAACAUAGGUUCGGUGCAUUAUAUUUGGAACGGAUAUAGCACAUUAUGCAGAUUUGCUGCAUCUUUUCUACACUUACCUGCUGUCUAUUGCAAAUGUAAAGGAAUCAAACAGUGCAUACGGCAAAUCAAUUAGUGACUUCAUUUGGAUAAUUGACAGAAAUACUAUUGUUGAACCAAUUGAAGAACUAACUCCGCCAGAAAAUCCACUUCCGCAGCCGACACGACUUACUCUUACAUCAUUUGCGGACUUUGACCGUCAACCUGAUGGACAUGAAUUUGAUGUUCUUGCCGUUGUACUGAACUUCGGAUUGCCAACAUAUGUUGUAAAUGGAUCCCGAAUUCAAGACUUCAUUGUAAUGGAUCAAAGGUCAGUACAGGCUUUACUUUGCUUUAAAAUUUUAAUAUAUUUUCCCUUUCUUCUAUGGCCAAAAUAAAAAAUGAAAGUGCCAUUUCUUGAUUGAUAAUUCUAUUUUAAUCUAACACUUUUUCCCUCCAACUAAAGCUGAAAAUUAAAUUAAGUUGUAUUUAAUCCCUUUUUAUGCAAACCAAUAAUAAGAAAUUGCGUAACGACAUUUGCUUAGAGUCUAAAUAGAUAAAAAUAGAGUAAAGGCUAAAAGGUGCUACUGUUAGCCAUUGCUUAAAACACAGUCAUACCUGAAUUUAUUAAGUAAAUUGAUAUGUGAAUUUACUUUGCUUUACCAGUUCUUCUGCAUUUGUUGCAACUGCUACCCAUAUCAGCAUGAUUAGGUUUAAAUGAGUAAUCUGGAAGUUUCGUUUGCAUAAGAGUAUAAGCAGUCUAACUCGGUUAAUGAUGUGAAAUUAAAAACAAGAAUUUCCACGAUUUUCAAUAGCUUUGUUUGGUGUAAGCUUUACAGUUUUGACUGCUUCUGCUUUAUAGAUGCUACAUAUAGCGCACUUUAAUUGCGGUAUGAAAUUCACCUAAAUCUGCUAGAAUGUGGUGGCAAAAAGAUUACUGACUAAAUUACUGUCUAACCUCCCUUCUCAACGUAACUCAUGGAAAAAAAGUGAAACUGAAAAUUGUGGUGGCCUUCCGAUGUCAAUUAACGACUUAAUAUGACCAGCUAAGUUUGCUAUUAAAGAAUCAUAUAACUGUCGAAUAUCUCCAAAGUUUACAUAAUCCUUACAGCUUGGAUAGUGAAAUAUUUAAGCUAGCAGGGCCACGUCAAAAUGAGUAUUCUCCCACCCCGACUUCCCAAAGUCUCCGGUAGUGAGUUUGACAGGAUGCCUAAAACUUAGUUAAACCUGUAUUGUCCCAUUAAAUUUCUGACUAAAAUAAGCUCAAAGAGCGCAAUCUAAACAGCUAGAUUCUCAAACCUUCUACUAUGGACUAACAUAAUUAUUCAAAUACUUACUGAAAGAUAAGUUAAGGAAUUUAGAAGGAAAGGUGAAAAAUAGAAGUGGAUAGAAAGGGGAAAACAAAACCUGACUGUAGCAUGGUCGAAAUUGAGCCAGUUAGAGCUUCUACCUAACCCUUAAUUGAACGAACAAUAUUGACCGGGACAUCCCUCUUGGUAUUUGCCGAUGGAAUCAUGUGAAUGAUGAGAACUGUAAUCCAUGAUUCUUGGAAUUAACAAAGGAUCGAAGUAACUAUAUUGCAAGAUUGUUCUCUGUUAUGUUUUUUUUUUUUAAUUUCUCAUGUACAUGUAAUUUGUAUAUAUGUGUCUAGGAGAUGGUAUUUCACAUGAAUUGUUGGUUUCUGCACAUUAGUAUAAAAUUUGAAAAGACAAUUUAUUUGGUAAUGAGUUUGUAGGAACAUUCUUUGCUUUUGAUUUUGCUUUUAAUUUCUAGCACCAGUUGUUGUUUAUUGUGAUCCCAUUAUUGGACUAUUUUGCUGUUGUCACUGUUUCUUCAGUUAGUUGCCAUAUUCUUCCCACUGUUGUUUUCCGUUUCCAUACCUACUUUUAUUUGCUGUGCUCAAACUAAGGGUCUUCCGUAAACAGUCUCGAGGUAAAGGUAAGAUUCGUGUGUGCUGAAGAGAAAUAUAUGUUAGAGUUAAAAAUAGAGUUAAAAAAUUUACCUACAAAAUUAUUA